GUUCUAGUGCAGACAUGAGUGAAAUGGUCUCCAUUUCUAAAUCAACAGCCUGCCACCACCUUCUGCAGUGGCUGAAUUUCCUGGGUGGUCUUUAAGAAUUGCCCCAGGAGGUAGGCAUGUCAUAGUCUAAUCCGGAUGUUACAAAGGGCACACACAUGCGAAGAGAAUAUUUUCAUGCCGAAGGACAACUGCACCUUCUCUAUCAGGAACACACAGGGGCGGCUGUUUGGGCUUUGAAGAGCAUUAUCAGUGAAGUCAAGUCACACAUUUCUCAAUGCCAGUGGGCAAACAGGGGAAGAAUGAAAGCCAGAGCCUGUAAAAGGAAUCGCUGGACGGCUCGAGGAGUGUAUAAAAUAUGCUCUAGAAUUUUCAGCCUCCUGCAGUGCAAGUGAUUAGCUAAAGAAACACUUUGAACCUGUUAGUUGUACAUCUUUUAAACCAUUUUAAAUUAUGGAAAAGACAGUGCUCAAGAAAUUAAUUAAAGUUUUGGACAAUAAUGCAAUCAGGGAUAUCUGUGUUUGCAGUCUUUUCUCUCUGCUUGCAUACAUCUUUCUCUGUCAAGUACAUCAAACAGCUAAUUAGCCCCAUUUUAAGAGCUUCACUGCUCACAUCACUUAAAAGGAUCUCCAGGCUGCCUUCUUAGAGAAUUCACGCUUACUGUGCAUUGGUUUCCUGAAUGCUUCAUAGACUUGGAAAGAAUCUAUUCCCACACAUUGGAGGAACUUUAGAAGUAGAUGGACUUUUUAUUUCCACAAAUCAAUUUUGCUUGUUUUCUCACUCAUGGUCAACAUUUUAUAAAUACUCUUGUAAGGGUUGAUAAACCUAUUUCACCUGGUAUGUGCUUGUUUUAGUUAAAUACCCUUGGGUUUGCUGAAGACAUCUGAAAAACAUUAGAAUGACUGCUUUUUAUUAAGACAUGUGGUACCAGAAAAAAAUUACGAGAGACGAAACUGUUGCUUUCAUUUAGGAUAAAGCGUUACCAUGACAAAAGUUGGGUGUUUCAAAUACCCAUUUUAGAAAUAACUACAGGUCACAUGAUCUACAGAUAUCACAUGUUAGCACAUGUUAAAAGUUAUAACCAUAACUAGAGACAGAAUUUCUGACUCACAGCUUCCAUUAAUCUGAACUAUCACAUGUCAUCUCAAGUUGACUAUAAAAAUAACUCAAGACGCCAGAGUGCUUCAAUUAACAGCUGAAAUAUUGUGAUAUUUUAACACAGGUGAUAUAAAGAAUCAGAGCCACGAAUAGAUACGUGGCUAUGAGUUAUAGCUGUUUCCUUGCAGGUUUAACGUGGAGGGCAAAUGCAGAGAACGCUUUCCCUACUCAUAUGCCCAUCAAGCGGGAUACGUGCGGUUGGUUGAGGGAGGAGUGGAGGUGGAUUACACGUCUAUGGUUUCUUGAUCAUCUAAAAAUAUGUAUGAAUAUGACCUGAGGCAAGAAAGGUGGCAGGUAGUUCAAGAACACCCAAGAUGUUUGAAAGAGAGACUCUGGUAUCUUGAGCAGAACAAGGUACCCAGAGGAACCAAGUAAACCCUUGUAAAAUAAGAACAACCGUAUUAGGAGAUAUCCAUGGUGAACUUGGUAUGGUUUAAGCAUGAUUUUAGAUGUUGUAUUUACAUCUUUUUUACAGUUUUAUUGAAACAGAAUUGACAUACUGCACUGUAUUAGGUUGAACGGUACAGCAUGAUGAUUCAAAAAUUCUAAAUACAUUAAUUCAUUGAAUCUUUACAACCACCUUUUGAGGUCAGUACCAUUAUUAUAUAUUAUCAUAAAUUUACCUAUGUAGACACUGAGCUGUAGAGAGUUUAAAUAACUUGUUCAAGGUCACAUAUCCACUAAAUGGUGGAUUUAAUUUUGACCCCAGGCAAUUGGGCUCUGGAAUGCUGCAUUCCUAAAAUCCUGAAGAAAGAAUAAAAGGAAGAAAUAAGAUGGGGAUGGGAAGAAGGGAGAGAAGAAAGAUAGAGGCUAGGAAAUAGCUAUUUGUUUAGGUGACACCUAAUACUACAAUUUUAAUGGAAGGUCAGAAUGUUUAAGGAGUAAAGGAAGGAAUGGUGGGAAGAAGAUUUCCCUGAGGAGUAUGAUAUUUGACCUAUGCUUUUGAAGUGAAUCAUGCUGGAUUUAAGACUUUUUUGCCUUAAAAUUUCAUUAAAACUUAACCCCUAACUAGUAUUAAUGCUUACUAAAGUAUAUUUUCAGACCAAGCAGAAAAUGAUUUCAACAAAAACAAAUAUUAUGGUUUCAAAGGAGAGGGAAUGAAAGCCAGGUUGAUACAUGAACUAUCCAAAUAAAGUGAAGAAAAAUAAAAACACAUGAACACUUAAAGUUUUACUCUUAUUUUACUAGGAGCAUGUUCCUAAGUCCCUAUAUUUCAAAAUUAUGCAGUCAAGACUUGAAGGUUGGCCUCAUGCAGUGUGCCUGAGAAGACCAAUAAAUAAAAAGCCAACUUCAAUGCUUAGCAAUAACACAAAAACAAAAUAUUUGUAGGGUGGUAGUUUACAGAAUGUGGACCUAUGUUUUACUGUGUUCUCUUUGGCUAAAUAAAGUUGUGAGAAACGAGUUUCCACUCCAUCUGGUUUUAGUGCUCUGAACUGGAGGUGUCUGAGCCUUGGGAUGUCUAAGCAAUGCAUAGUCAAAUAAGGGAUUUAGGGAUAGUUUGGGCUAGAGGCUACAUUAACUGUCAUUUAAUGCAACCAUCUGACUUCACGUAUUUAUUUUCUAGGUAAUUUAAAAAAUUUUUUUAAUUUUUAAAUUAAAUAUGUUUAUUCUACAAUGUUAUAUUAGUUUCAGGUGUAUAGCAAAGUGAUUCAGUUAUACAUAUACACAUAGCUAUUCUUUUUAAGGUUCUUUUCCAUUAUAGGUUAUUACAAGAUACCGAGUAUAGCUCCUUGUACUAUACAGUAGGUCCUUGUUGUUUAUCUGUUUUAUAUAUACUACCUGUAUCUUCUGAUUCCAAACUCCUAAUUUAUCCCUCCCCUAACCCCUUACACCUUUGGUAACCACAAGUUUGUUUUCUAUGUCUGUGAAUCUGUUU
rnacentral:lncRNA from 1 species